rnacentral:rRNA from 1 species
UUAGAGUUUGAUCCUGGCUCAGGACCCUUUCUGGCGGCGCGCCUAACACAUGCAAGUCGAACGGAACUUGAGAGAGCUUGCUUUUUCAAGUUUAGUGGCUCACGGGUGAGUAACGCGUGAGUAACCUGCCCUGGAGUGGGGGACAACAGUUGGAAACGACUGCUAAUACCGCAUAAGCCCACGGUACCGCAUGGUACUGAGGGAAAAGGAUUUAUUCGCUUUAGGAUGGACUCGCGUCCAAUUAGCUAGUUGGUGAGGUAACGGCCCACCAAGGCGACGAUUGGUAGCCGGACUGAGAGGUUGAACGGCCACAUUGGGACUGAGACACGGCCCAGACUCCUACGGGAGGCAGCAGUGGAGGAUAUUGCACAAUGGGGGAAACCCUGAUGCAGCGACGCCGCGUGGAGGAAGAAGGUUUUCGGAUUGUAAACUCCUGUCGUUAGGGACGAUAAUGACGGUACCUAACAAGAAAGCACCGGCUAACUACGUGCCAGCAGCCGCGGUAAAACGUAGGGUGCAAGCGUUGUCCGGAAUUACUGGGUGUAAAGGGAGCGCAGGCGGACCGGCAAGUUGGAAGUGAAAUCUAUGGGCUCAACCCAUAAAUUGCUUUCAAAACUGUUUUUCUUGAGUAGUGCAGAGGUAGGCGGAAUUCCCGGUGUAGCGGUGGAAUGCGUAGAUAUCGGGAGGAACACCAGUGGCGAAGGCGGCCUACUGGGCACCAACUGACGCUGAGGCUCGAAAGUGUGGGUAGCAAACAGGAUUAGAUACCCUGGUAGUCCACACCGUAAACGAUGAAUUUCUAGGGUGUGGGAGGAUUGACCCCUUCAGUGCCGCAGUUAACACAAUAAGUAAUCCACCGGGGGAGUACGACCGCAAGGUUGAAACUCAAAGGAAUUGACGGGGGCCCGCACAAGCAGUGGAGUAUGUGGUUUAAUUCGACGCAACGCGAAGAACCUUACCAAGUCUUGACAUCCUGCGACGAAUGCUGGAAACAGUAUUUUCCUUCGGGACGCAGAGACAGGUGGUGCAUGGUUGUCGUCAGCUCGUGUCGUGAGAUGUUGGGUUAAGUCCCGCAACGAGCGCAACCCUUACUGUCAGUUACUACGCAAGAGGACUCUGGCAGGACUGCCGUUGACAAAACGGAGGAAGGUGGGGAUGACGUCAAAUCAUCAUGCCCUUUAUGACUUGGGCUACACACGUACUACAAUGGCGUUAAACAAAGAGAAGCAAGACCGCGAGGUGGAGCAAAACUCAGAAACAACGUCCCAGUUCGGACUGCAGGCUGCAACUCGCCUGCACGAAGUCGGAAUUGCUAGUAAUCGUGGAUCAGCAUGCCACGGUGAAUACGUUCCCGGGCCUUGUACACACCGCCCGUCA